UACGGGGGGAGCAAGCGUUGUUCGGAUUUACUGGGCGUAAAGGGCGCGUAGGCGGCCACCGCAAGUCAAUUGUGAAAUCUCCGGGCUCAACCCGGAAAGGUCAACUGAUACUGCGGGGCUAGAGUGCAGAAGGGGCAACUGGAGUUCUCGGUGUAGCGGUGAAAUGCGUAGAUAUCGAGAGGAACACCUGCGGCGAAGGCGGGUUGCUGGGCUGACACUGACGCUGAGGCGCGAAAGCUAGGGGAGCGAACGGG
rnacentral:rRNA from 1 species